GACGAACGCUGGCGGCGUGCUUAACACAUGCAAGUCGAACGGUGAAGCGCUUGCCUUUUUGGUGGGUGUGGAUGAGUGGCGAACGGGUGAGUAACACGUGAGUAACCUGCCCUCUUCUUCUGGAUAACCUCAUGAAAGUGGGGCUAAUACGGGGUAUUCCGGGUCUGUCGCAUGGCGGGUUUGGGAAAGAUUGCGCCUUUGGGUGUUUUCGGUGGGGAUGGGCUCGCGGGCUUUCCGCCUGUUGGUGGGGUGAUGGCCUACCAAGGCGGUGACGGGUAGCCGGCCUGAGAGGGUGGACGGCCACACUGGGACUGAGACACGGCCCAGACUCCUGCGGGAGGCAGCAGUGGGGAAUACUGCACAAUGGGCGCAAGCCUGAUGCAGCGACGCCGCGUGAGGGAUGGAGGCCUUCGGGUUGUGAACCUCUUUCGCCAGUGAAGCAGGCCUGCUCCUGUGUGGGUGGGUUGACGGUAGCUGGAUAAGAAGCGCCGGCUAACUACGUG
rnacentral:rRNA from 1 species